AUUUUCUUUAGUAAUUCAAGACUGGUGGCACAGACAGAUGCAGUCGGCUAGCAGGUCAGUUAGUCAGUCAGCAAACGCACCUUACACACCCUCUGUGUGGACACAGAGCUGGGUGCCUUGGAUAUAGCAGGGAGCCCACAGAUCAGCGCCUGCCCUCCUGGGGCUCACAGUGUCCUGGGGAGACAGAGACGGAGGGAGAGCAAGAAACAGACAAGGGAAGGUAGCGAGUGGUUGGAGAGGCAUUGAAGACAUUUCAGCACUGUGCCGAGCCUUUCUCCGUGAUAUCUUCAGAACAACUGAGAGAGAGUAGGAAGGUGACUCAUUUUC
rnacentral:lncRNA from 1 species